CAUUACUGAAGAACAUAGGGUUUUGAGACUGCGUCGUCAUUGACGUGUGCUCGACCCUUACUCUUUCAUCCACACACCUUUGUGCACCAUGGGACGCAAGUCCCUCUUUUAAUACAAACACCGAGUUAUAUGCAUGUUUUUACACUCUACGGAGUAUUGACACAACUUUCAACAACGGAUCUCUUGGCUUUCGCAUCGAUGAAGAACGCAGCGAACGUGCGAAACGUAAUGUGAAUUGCAGAAUUCAGUGAAUCAUCGAAUCUUUGAACGCAUCUUGCGCUCCUUGGCAUUCCGAGGAGUAUGCCUGUUUGAGUGUCGUGAAGUACUCUCAAUUUCAAUCUUUUUGUUUGAAAUUGGAUUUGGGCGUUGUCGUGGAUCUCACGACUCACCCUAAAUACAUUAGCGAUCUGCCUUUUGAUCACACAAUGUGAUAAGAAAAAGCAUUGUUAAGAUCGAUUGAUUAGGAUGGCUUCCAACUGUCGAAAGACAAACGCAUAUAUGCAUGUCAUUUGACCUCAGAUCAGGUAGGACUACCCGCUGAACUUAAGCAUAUC
rnacentral:rRNA from 1 species